rnacentral:misc_RNA from 1 species
UGGUGCGUUACACCCGGCCGG